rnacentral:tRNA from 1 species
GGAGGGGUGGCCGAGUGGUUUAAGGCGCACGCCUGGAACGCGUGUAUACGGGAAACCGUAUCGAGGGUUCGAAUCCCUCUCCCUCCG